rnacentral:lncRNA from 1 species
UCUCAAAAGGGUUUAAUAGGGAUUACCUUGAAUUCUGACUGGUACGUUCCGGUUUCAAUAGAGAAAUCUGAUCGAGAUGCUGCACGUCGAGGCCUUGACUUCAUGUUUGGAUGGUAAGGUUAUACUCAACUUUUUGAAGGAAACGAAAAUGGACAGAGACGAUAUUUAUCAUUGAAAAUAUGAUCAUGGCAUGAAUGCUGGUAUACUACUCCAUCAUGUAAGAAAAAUGUGGACCAACAAGAUUAUUUGGCUAUGCAAUUAUGAAAUGUUACUGUAAAGGCAUUGAUCGCCAUUAGUGGAUGAUAUCACUUAGAUUGAUGUGUGGUACUCAUCUUAAUGUGGUGUGAUAUGUGCUGUUUAGACAAAUUAUAUCUCUUCUCCGAAACCUGUAUAAAAAUAAUUUGAUUGUAUAUUACUUAGGAAUUCAAAUUAACUACACUUGAGUUUAAAAGAAACACUCUUAAGUCUAACCAGCUAGAUUCGAAAGUAGUGAUGUAGCAUUUGUGCUGUUUCGGUACUACUUGUUGAUUGCAUCUACAUUUUGCAUUUUGUGUUAUUAGGUUUAUGGAACCACUCACUAAAGGUGAGUAUCCAAAGAGCAUGCGAUCUAUGUUGGGAAACCGGCUACCAGAGUUCACCAGAGAAGAGUCCUGGCAACUCAAAGGGUCAUUUGAUUUUCUGGGCCUAAACUACUACUCAUCCUUUUAUGCUGCCUAUGCACCUCACCAACAUGGUGUCAGACCAGCCUUACAAACUGAUUCUCUUGUUAAUGUUACAAGUAAUAAUCAAGUUGUUUAUAUGCCUGAACUAGUUGCUUCUCCUCUAAUGAAUGGCCAUACAGAACUCAAAUAAAAUUUAUUGAAAACGUGGUUUUUUUAUUUUUCAAUUACAGAUCAGCAUGAUGGCAGGCUCCUUGGUCCAAUGGUAUGUAUUUCAUUGGCACCAAUGUUACAUAUCAAUGCUUUACAUUUUUUACUUUUGUUCACUCUAAAAGACCGUAUACAAAAUUGUAAUUAAACUCUUAUUUAUAAUAAUUUCCAGGCUGCUUCUAACUGGUUGUGCAUUUAUCCACGAGGAUUCCGACGACUGUUGCUUUUCAUCAAGAAGCACUACAACAACCCUGUAAUUUACAUUACUGAAAACGGUAUGAGACAUUUCUUCUCAAACAAUAAUGUGCAUAGUGAUGCAAUUCUAGUCCUCCAUCACAUAGUGUAAUAUUGAAAAAGCUAAUGAUUCAUAAAAAAUUAAUGAAAUUUAUGCAAAAUUAAUUGAUAGGUUAUGACGAGGUGAACGAUCCAACACUUUCACUUGAAGAAAGCCUUAGAGAUACAUACAGAGUUGAUUACUUAUACUGGCAUCUUUAUUAUCUUCAAACUGCAAUCAAGUAAGUAAGGUUUUGUCAUAGUUUUAUGCAUAUAGAUUCACAGAUUGAUGCUAUAUUUUUUUUUUCAUACUUGCUUUUUACAUUUACCAUUUAUAGGAAAAAGGGGGAAAAUAAUUUUUCUCACAUUUUAUUUUACUGUAAGAAGUGGGUGUAAAAGAGUAGAAAACUAGUACAGGAGUGAGUGACCGUUUUGGAUAAUUACUUUGUUUUUGUUGAUUUUUAUGCAUACAAGGGAUGGUGUGAAUGUAAAGGGAUAUUUUGUGUGGUCAUUGCUGGAUAACUUGGAGUGGGACUCUGGCUAUAGUGUGCGAUUUGGACUCGUCUUUGUGGAUUUCAAAGAUGGCUUGAAAAGAUACCCCAAAUUCUCGGCACAUUGGUUCAAGAAUUUCCUCAGUAAAUCUUAGUAUGACAUAUAUAUAUAUAUAUAUAGAUAGAUAGAGCAUGGUUCAAAUUAUCAACACAAUUUCUACCCUAUGCCUCUUCUUUCUUAUUAUACCAUGCUCAGUUGUUUCAUUUAUAAACUCAGACUUACAUUCCUAACAAAGUUUGUAUUUUUACACUGAUUAAAUUCAUAGUAGAUCUAAACACACUUUAAUUAUCACUGAUGGAUCACUUUAAAAUCCGUAGUAUAUAGAAAAAAGCUUGAUUUUAAAAUUUAAUGUAUAACUUGUCAGUUUUCAUUUUGUAUGGACUUCAGAAUCAUUCAUCAAUGUUUUAUAACAUUCACUGUCAAUAUACAACUCAAGAUAAAUUAAUCUUAAUACUAUAUGGAAUUAAAUAGUAAAAUUAAAAAUGUAUAUAUAGAACUACAAUUAAGGUAUUAAUACAAUAUAAUAUCAUUUUGUAUAAAACAUUUUUUAUACAAUUGGUGAAGAUAUAAGAUAUGUGUUCCAAGAACUAAUAGAACUACUUGAUUCGGGAAAAACUUCACUGUCAGAAUAAGGAGGUAUAAAAAGAAUAUUAUAAGUAAAGGGAAAAAAAGAAAAUGAUAGAGCAUGAAGGCAAAACAAGACAAACUAAAACUACUCACAAAAGUUAUUGUGAGCUAUAAAAAGAAAAUGAAAAUGAAAACAAUUUAGCUCAAAUUAGGGUCAAAAUCGGUAAAAAAAACAGAAAUUAAGGAAAUACAGAAAAAUUAUUCGCAAAAGCUAAUUCCCCCUAAACAUAACAAAUCUUCAAUUGUAAAUAAAGAAUAAUAAAUAUAGGAAAAUGGAAAAGAAAUGGCAUAGCAUCGAAUGGGUGAAGUAAGACGAACAAAAGCUAUUCAUCAUAUACUAUUAUGAGUUAAAAGGAAAUGAAAAUCACCAAAGAGAAAAACAAAACCUUACCCAGUUCAAGAUCAUAUGAAAAUGAAAUAGAAUAAGCCAAAUUUACAAUCCCUUUAUGCAUUAUACUCAAACACAAUUCAUUAAAGAAAUUAACCCAAACAACUUACCCAUAAAACUCGAAAGAACUACUCAAUUGUCGAUUCCAACUCCUGAAAUGAAAAAAAAAAAAAAAAACAUGAGAAUAUUUCAAAUGUAAAAAGGCAAUAAGCAAAUGAAAAGAAAGGACAAAAGAGAAUGACAUCUAAAAGAAAUUAUACUGAUAAUAUAGACAGUUAUGAGUUAUGUUAUGAAGAGAAAUGAAUAUCACAAAAGAAAAAAAAAAUAAACUUUUCUCAAAUCAGGGUUGUGAGAAAAAAAAAGUGAAAAUGAAAAAAAAAAUUGUAAUAUCAAUAUACAUUAUACUCAAACACACUUCAUAUAGAAAAAAUUUGAUCCAAAAAAACCUUACUCGAACAAGUUAGUAAAAUGAAAUAAAAAAAAUUGUCAUCAAAAUACUUCAAAUAAAAGAAAACUAAUCUAUACAUAAUAGAGAUGGGAGAAGACUCUCAAGAUAAGUUUAAACACGUGUCCUCUCCACAAAAUUUCGGAAAAAAAAUAAAAAACAUUUAAUAAUAAAAGUAGAAAAUAUUUCACCAAUCAACACAACACACCUAUACAAAUCAAAACAUGUCACGUAACACUUUCUAAAAGACACUUUUUUCUCUCUCUCAUUUUGUUUCGAUUUCCUUCUCUCAUAUUUUGUUUUCUCCAUUCUCUUUGAAACUCUCUUUUCUUUGAAACCCUAAUGACAACACUUCCGCCCUCGCUUCUCUCCUUUCCUUUACUUAUUUUCACCAUUUUGGCAACUCUGUCACUCAUAUGAAACUUCUGAAGGGUUCAGUGCUUCACAGUUGGCCCAAAAGCAAUGUCUUCAGAAUCGAGGAUUAGGGUUUCGUUCUUCUCUCAACAAAGCUUAAAUUGGGGUCUUUUCUGCAACUGUGUUUGAUAGCGAAGGAUUUCCUAAGAUCUUUUGCACAAUCGUAUAAUAAUAAAUAAAACAAUAAUCAAUAAAAGAAACAAAUAAAUUUUAAAUUAAAUGAAUAUUAAAUAUAAAGAUAUAAAAAAUAUAUUAAAUAUCAAGAUAUAAAAAUAAAUUUAAAUAUAAAUAUUAAAUAAUUAAAUAAAUUAAAUAAUUAAAAUCAAUUAGAUUAAAUAUUAAAUAAGCAUGGUAUGAAUGGAUAUUUGAAUUGGAAUUGAUCGAUUGAAAUGAGAGUGAUUAUUAUGUGUAUCGGUAUGGGCAAUGUUUAUGUGUAUUAUGUGUAUUGGUAUUUAGAAAAAAUUUGUUUUUAAUUAUUUAUUUAUUUCUUUUAUAUCUUUAUCUUUAUAUUUUAUUCAUUUAAUUUAAAAUUUAUUUGUUUUUUUUAUUUAUUAUUCUUUUAUUUAUUAUUAUAUGAUUGUGAAAAUUUCUUUUAUUUAUUAUACGUGCUAGAAAUUUCCUUUAGAUUAAUAAUUGAAAUUCUGAAUCGGAUUUAUAAAACUGUGUUAGAAAAGUAGAAUUUCCCUUACACAUUACAGGAAAACAGCAGAGUGAAGAAAAUUGGAGUACAGAGCCGCUCACGACACAACAAACCACGAUGCCACAGUCCUAAAUUAUUGACUGACGUUACUGUCUAAAGUUCAAAAUUCCACCCUACGUGUCCAAACGAAAAUGGCCUUGGCUUUAUCCCUGCUUUUGAAUCAAGAAAAGAGAACCAAAACUGAAUGAUAAAAUUUCCUGAAUCAAACAACAAAGUCGCUGGUUUUCUUUUGUUUGUAUUACAACAGAAACUGAAAUUAUGUAAAGGUGCCAACUGUAGAGCACAGUAUCACUUACCUUAACUUCACUUUGUGAAUUACGUAUGGUAAUCACAAUGAACAUGUUUUCGCUGCUCUGCGUUUUUGUUACCUCCUCCAUCAUCACCCUCACUCACUCCAAGGCCGUUCCACCCAUUCUUGACGUUUCUUACCUCAACCGGAGCAGUUUCCCCAAAGGCUUUGUUUUCGGGACAGCAUCCGCUUCAUACCAGGUACAUCAUAAUAUAUCAUAGUACUUUUAACGCAAGAUCUAGAAUCUAAUACCAUUUUAUUUUAUGAUAUUUUAACUUAAUCUUAUAAAACAUGUUCCUUUCAUGAAAAUUGGUACUUUUUUAACUGCAUGUUUCGUUGCAUGUUUUGUUUAAAGAUGCACUUUCUAAAUUUCAAAACAAAAUUGCGCAUUCUGAUGCAUGAAUUGAAAAGUAAAGAUGUGUUGUUUUUGGUGUAUGCCUAUUAUGAAACUAUAGUACAAGUUUAUAAACUUGCUACUUGUUCGUCAUUCAAUAUUCAAAAUAUCUUCUCGUAUCAUCGAGAUUUUCUAACUAGUAUGAAACUAGAGAUAUUUAUGUUUGGUUCAACUUUUAUUAAAAUAAACUUUAAUAUUAUUUUAAAAAGUUAACUUUAAAUUUAACUCAAUCUUACCUUAAAAAAACAUGAUUUAUUCUAUUUACUAGAUACGAAUAGUAGUAGGAUCUCCAAUAUAAAUAUUCCGUGUUAUUUACUCUAUUUUGUUUCAUUAUUAGUUUGUCAUUUAAUUUGUAUCAUCUUGUUCAUCCUCGAGAGCAAUUACCAUCAUUAUGUAUUCGGAAGGUAUGAGAAAGAUAAUUUUGUCGUGUAGUAUGAAGGUGCUGCAAGGGAAGAUGGAAAAGGACCGAGUAUAUGGGAUACUUUCACUCACAAAUAUCCAGGUAUAUUUCUCCUCCAAUAGUUCUGUCAAUAUUUUUUUUUCAAAUAAGUAUGUGUUUUUUAAGGUUCAUUUUGAAAGUAAAAAAGAUUCAUUAUAUCUUAAAUAUAAUUCACAGUGGAUUUGGAAGAGGAUAAGUCUGUUCUGUAUGCAUGUCACAUCCUUCCUGCAAUUUUCAUUUACUUUUGUGCAACCUACUAGCAUUUCUCCAUUGAUAAUAUAUGUGCACUUGGUGCUGGAUCAUGUUUGAGGGUCUCUUUGAGAAUAAAGUUGUUGAAUUAUAAUAUAGUUUAUUGAAUAAUAGAUCCUAGUUAUUUAACAAGAGAGCCCAUCCAUUUAUAUAGUCUUCUAAUUGCUCAUCGAACUGCAUUAUUUGCUAUGCAGGGUUUUCUGGAGAUUGAUUUGAGAUUUAUGAAAAUUAUGUGUAUUUGGUUUAGAUGAUUUUUUAUGAUUUAUAGAAGAAAUCUUGAAAGAGAGAAAAUAAAGAGUGGAAUGAGAAGAGAGAGAUGGAUUUGUUGAAAUUAUUGAAUGAAUUACUAAUUUACUUCUAUAUUCAAUAUUUAAUUUUUUUAAAUAAUUUUUUUUAUUAGAAUUUCAUUUAAUUCUUAGCUGAAACUUACCAUAACUAAUAACCUACAAAUUGCCUAAUUAAAUGUCCAAUAUCUACUUAUUUAUGAAUGAAAUGGCAUGCAGAAAAAGUAAAAGAUCGGAGUACUGGAGACGUAACGACAGACCAAUAUCAUCGGUAUAAGGUACAUAUGGUUUCAAUAAUAGAAAUACAUGUUUUAAUAAGAAUAAAAACUUAUAACUGUUCGAAAUCUCAAAAUGUAAACAUCAUCUUAUGAUGAGUCAUGAAAACUAGUUCACAUGUUUUAGGAGGAUGUUGGAAUCAUGAAGGGCAUGAAUUUGGAUGCUUAUAGAUUCUCCAUUUCUUGGCCUAGGGUAUUACCGAGUAAGUCAAGUUUAUAAGCAUUUUUUCUUCGUUCGUACUUCAUAGUAACUUUUUAUUAAUGUCUUAUGAGUUAUUUGCAGAAGGAAAGCUCUCUGCAGGAGUAAACAAGGCAGGAAUAAACUACUACAAUAACCUCAUCAACCAGCUAUUGAAGAAUGGUCAUAAUUCAUUAAUAUUUUUAUUUAUCAUGUAACUCUUUAAUUGUGCUAGUAUAUCAUAUCUAUAUAUGGGGUCGUUAGUCAUAAUAAUAAUCGUGAAUAAUGCAGGUAUGGAACCAUAUGUGACCCUUUUUCAUUGGGACGUUCCCCAGGCCUUGGACGAUGAGUAUGGUGGUUUUUUAAGCCCUCACAUUGUGUGAGUAGCCCCAGUUUCCACUGUAUAAUUAACUGAGGAACAUUGUAUCACUAUUGAGGGAAAGGAUUUGGUGAAUCUAAUAAACUGAUAAAUUUAUAUGAUUCAUAUGAGUAUGCAGAGAUGAUUUUAGGGACUUCGCUGAACUAUGCUUCAAGGAAUUUGGUGAUAGGGUGAAACAUUGGAUUACUUUGAAUGAACCAAGCACUGUGGCCUUCGAUGGUUAUACAGUUGGAGAUCAUGCACCAGGUCGGUGUUCUGAUUGGCAAAAACUGAAUUGCACAGGUGGUGAUUCAGGAACUGAGCCAUAUUUGGUUUCGCACUAUCUACUUCUUUCUCAUGCUGCUGCUGCUAACUUGUACAAGACCAAGUAUCAGGUUCUCAACACUCUUGAACUGUUUUAUAUCACCAAAUGCUUUUUAAAACCCAGAAAUCAAUAUUUAUAUCUUGAAUUUGAAACAUGAGAAUUGAAUUUUUCUACUAGAAGGGUUCAACCACUUGUCAAUUCUUUUUUUGGUGGAGGACCAUGCUUUGUUUUCAUGUUCCAAAUUAUUGAAUUCUCUAGGAGAGUAAAUAGCCAAAAUAUUGGAAAAUUGUGUAUGCAGGAAUCACAAAAGGGUUUAAUAGGGAUUACCUUGAACAGUGACUGGUAUUUGCCGGCUAGUGAUGACAUAGCAGAUAUGGACGCUGCCCGUCGAGCCCUUGACUUCAGGUUUGGGUGGUAAGAUUAUACUUAUACUCGACUAUUCAUAGCUUGAAAGGAGAGUAUAUUGAGAGAGACACUAUUUAUUUUUGAAAAUGUGAGAAUGGUUUGAUUUAUAAUGGUACACUACUCCAUUAAGAAUGUAGACCAACAACAGUAUGCAAUUAUGUGAUCUAAUUUUAACUAUCAAUCAUUCGUCAUUACUAAUUACAAUUAGCAGAUGAUACCACUUAUAAGAUUGAUGUAUUUGUACUUAUCUUUAUGUCAGAUGAUUUGGGCUAUUUACACAAAUUAUAUGCAUGCUCUGACGCCUGUAUAAAAUUGAAAGUAAAAUUUGUAUUAACUCAAUUGAGUUUAAAAAGAAACAUAUUGAUCUCUAACCAGCUGGAUUCAAAUGUAAUGAUAUGUCAUUUGUGCUAUUAGGAAAUUAAAAAAUUGUGUUGCAGUGUGCUUGUUCUUGAUGACUUCUUCAUUUUGCAUUUCUG